rnacentral:lncRNA from 1 species
CUUUCAGAAGUGACUCUCCAGGGGAGCUAAAAUCCAUGUAUUUGGGCACACACUUGAACAAUAUUGCUAGAGAAAUUUAAGCAAGAGCACAAAGGUAUGUGAUUUUACAAGCUCUCAAUGACUGUAUGACUAUAUAGCUGAUUCAAGUUUUUUUUUUUUUGAAAACCCAAGAGCCUGUUCCUUUUUCUUUUAAGUGUCCUUAUGUUUUGAGUUUCCCCAAGAAAAUGCCUUUUGUGGUUCCAAGUUUCUCAUUUUUAAUUCAUUCUACUAAGUAUUUAUAUAGUUCCAGGAUAUGCUGUCAGCAUGAACAUAUCUUAGAAUCCCUGAUCCCCUCCCCUUUCUUACAAAUGGAAGUUUUAUUUGGGGAUUUUUAGAAAAAACCUUUUCAUGCAGAUAUUGCACAUCCGAUUCUUUUGAUGCUUUGAAGAACUGUUCCUUGGGAAAUGGACUCAGGAUGCAUCAUUUCUGGGGGUGUGGGGAAGUUCCAUUUGGAACCAUGAGUUAAUGAACAAGGGGACCAACCAGCUUUGAGGGAAGUAGUCCUAGUUGUUCUUUUGUGUGAGGAUUGGUAUAGUGCUUUUAUCAUCUGUGCCUUACAAAGUUUACAACAAUCAAUAUUUUAAAACAUCUUUACAGAAAAUGAAACUGUGAACUCCUCAUACUGCAUCUGAGAGCUGAUUUGGCAUUUUAUAAAUAGGCAUAUGAUGUCUAAAUUACUUGUAAUAUAAACUAAGAGCAUCCUCAGCAUUGAUGAUGGUUGCAUAUGAUCCAGAAUUAUAAUGAUGAAUAAUGCAUUGGGUUUCAUUGUUCUCUGUGAUUGCCCACUUUGUUAUGCAGGGACGGAUUUCCACGACAGUGUCCCAGAUUUGAAUUGUACAGUUUUUUUUUUUUGUAGUAGCUUCCCCAGAAUGAUGUAAGCUCAUUGGAAAUAUUCACAGAAAUCCUUGCUCUCUGUGCUUCAUGGAGAUGCAAUCUCAGAACUUUCUCCAAGGACUGGCUCAUCAAGUAUAAUUUAACAUGUCUUAUGAUCUGGAUCGCCUGUUUUGCAUGGAUAGAGCUUGUCAAAGCACAAAUCCUUGCAUCCUUGAUACAUUUGAACAAAUAAUAAUAUUUUAGUCAUUAUUUGGAGAAGAACAAUAUUGAGUUUUUAUACAAAUAAGAUAAAGCAUAUAAAAGGGCUGGAUGAACUAUAUAUGUCACUCAAACACGAGGCGUACAGUGUUUUAGAUUUGCAUGUCCCCCAAGAAGGCUGCGUCUCCCCCAGUCUCCAUUAGGUUCAAGGGCAAAGAUUUGUUUCAAGGACCCUGUAAGAAGAAACUUGAUUUUGGAGCCACAGGGUAGGUUAGGGGGUGAGCAACAGGAAGAGUGGCUUAAAGCACAGUGUUUUAUAUUUCUCCUUUACUGUGACUGAAUAGGCUCUAACAUCUGGACCAGGGCUAGCCUAGAGUUAGAGUAAGAUAGCUCCCGCCCUGGAGGCUGAGGCAACACCAGGCGGGAAAGCAGGUUGGUGGUGGGGUGAUGGUAGCGGUGGCGAAUAAAUGGCCUUUCCUCCACCCCCACCCAAAGUCUGGACUAAUUGGGAAAUAGAUGGAGGGAUCAGGUAGAUGUAAAUCAAAGCAUCAGCUUUAUUACUGAAAACACCUGGGUUGAAGAAACUGGCUUAUAUUUGCAGACAAAGGAGAUUGUUUAUGCUCCCUCACAUUAAAUUUGAGAUGGAUUGGAUACAGAAAGUGAAGGGAAAAGAUGAAGCAGGGAUAAUUCCUAGAUUUUUGAGUUGGGCACUCAGACGACAGAGCAGGGGCAUCACUGUCUUGGACAAACACCACCAUUUUAAGUUCCCCUUGAUUAAAAACUGCCUAAAUCCAGCCCCAGAAAGCAUCAGCAUAAUGGCUAAUGUCAGCAUGACCU